UACGGAGGGUGCAAGCGUUGUCCGGAUUUAUUGGGUUUAAAGGGUGCGUAGGCGGCCCUCUAAGUCAGUGGUGAAAUACUGCAGCUUAACUGUAGCAUUGCCAUUGAUACUGGAUGGCUUGAGUGUGGGAGAGGGAUGCGGAAUUCCAGGUGUAGCGGUGAAAUGCGUAGAUAUCUGGAGGAACACCGGUGGCGAAGGCGGCAUCCUGGACCAUUACUGACGCUGAGGAGCGAAAGCCAGGGGAGCAAACGGG
rnacentral:rRNA from 1 species